rnacentral:lncRNA from 1 species
CGUGAAGUUGAGGUUCCAGUGAGCUAUGAUUGCACCACUGCACACUAUAGCCUGGGUGACAGAGGGAGACCCUGUCUCCAAAAAAAGAAAAAAAAAAUAGAGAAAGAGUCCAAGGAGGUGCACAGGCUCUGGUCCUCAAGGUUGGGAAGGCGAGGAUGGGGACAGCAGGUGAUGGGGGCAUGGAAUCGAGUGCGUGGAAUCAAGUGCCACUUGUGUUGAGAUGCCCACUAGGUGGCCUGGUGGAGAGGGUUAGCUACCCAGGUCAGGCUCAGGGCAGUGGUUGGGGCCGACGCAGCAGAUAAAGGAGGGUGUUCAGGAGACCAGAUGUGAGCCCCAGAGCAAGAAGUGGGCCAAAAAUAGAACCUGGGCAGAGGGAACUGUUCCUACCUCAUUGGGCUGGGCAAGAAUCAAUGGAGAGUCAUGGAAAGCACUCAGCCCAGUGCCAGGCAAGGAGUGGACACCCAUGACUGUCGCCUGGUGUUCCGCUAUACUGCUGAGGAGCUGGACCCAAGAUCCAGAGAGGGCCAGCAGCUGACCCAGGGUCACACAGCUGGACGAGGGUCUGAACCCAGUUUGUUUUUGUUUUUUGAGAUGCAGUCUCGCUCUGUCACCCAGGCUGGAGUGCAGUGGCAUGAUCUUGGCUCAUAGCAACCUCUGCCUCCCAGGUUCAAGUGAUUCUCCUGCCUCAGUCUCCCAAUUAGCUGGGACUACAGGCACACCCCAUCAUGCCUGGCUAAUUUUUUUUGUAUUUUUAGUAGAGACGGGGUUUCACCAUGUUGGCCAGGCUGGUCUUGAAGUCCCGACCUCAAGUGAUCCAGCCACCUCAGCCUCCCAAAGUGCUGGGAUUACAGGUGUGAGCCACCAUGCCUGGCCUGAAUCCAGGUCUUAAUCCUCAGAGUUCAUGCCUUUUUUCCUUUCCUUUCCUUUCCUUUUUUUCUUUUCUUUCUCUCUCCUUCCUUCCUUCCUUCCUUCCUUCCUUCCUUCCCCUUCCUUCCUUCCUUCCUUUUUUUUUUUUCAGGAUCUCACUCUGUUGCUCAAGCUGUAGUGCAGUGGAUCAUAGAAUCAUAGCUUACUGCAGCCUCAAACUCUAAAAUUCCUGGGCUCAAUUGAUCCCCCUGCCUCGGCCUCCUGAGUAGCUGAGACUACAGGUGCCACCACCACAUCCAGCUAAUUUUCUUAUUUUUUGUAGAGACAGAGUCUCACUACGUUGCCCAGGCUGUUCUCCAACACUGGGCUAGUGAUCUUCCUGCCUUGGCCUCCCAAAGUGCUGGGAUUACAGGUGUGAGGUACUGUGCCCGGCACCCAGAGUUCAUGUUCUUUGCCACUGGGCAACACUGCCAGGGGGACUGGGCCCAGCUCUGACCUGUUCCAAAGUGCCCCCCUCGCCCGGCUGUCCUCCCCAGCUCCUCUCUCCUUCCCUUGCCUGACUCCCUUCCCUUGUCCUCUCCAGUGCUAGCUCAC